CAGUAGCCGCGGUAAUACGUAGGUGGCAAGCGUUGUCCGGAUUUAUUGGGCGUAAAGCGCGUCUAGGCGGUUAAUUAAGUCUGAUGUGAAAAUGCGGAGCUCAACUCCGUAUUGCGUUGGAAACUGGUUAACUAGAGUACUGGAGAGGUAAGCGGAACUACAAGUGUAGAGGUGAAAUUCGUAGAUAUUUGUAGGGAUGCCGAUGGGGAAGCCAGCUUACUGGACAGAUACUGACGCUAGAGCGCGAAAGCGUGGGUAGCAAACAGGAUUAGAUACCCCCGUAGUCCCUGUCUCUUAUACC
rnacentral:rRNA from 1 species